rnacentral:rRNA from 1 species
GGCCGCGGGAAUUCGAUUAGAGUUUGAUCCUGGCUCAGAUUGAACGCUGGCGGCAUGCUUUACACAUGCAAGUCGAACGGUAACAGGGUGCUUGCACCGCUGACGAGUGGCGAACGGGUGAGUAAUGCGUCGGAACGCACCGAGUAAUGGGGGAUAACGCUUCGAAAGGAGUGCUAAUACCGCAUACGCUCCGAGGAGGAAAGCGGGGGACCUUANGGCCUCGCGUUAUUCGAGCGGCCGACGUCUGAUUAGCUAGUUGGUGAGGUAAAGGCUCGCCAAGGCGACGAUCAGUAGCGGGUCUGAGAGGAUGAUCCGCCACACUGGGACUGAGACACGGCCCAGACUCCUACGGGAGGCAGCAGUGGGGAAUUUUGGACAAUGGGCGCAAGCCUGAUCCAGCCAUGCCGCGUGUCUGAAGAAGGCCUUCGGGUUGUAAAGGACUUUUGUCGGGGAGCANAUCCUGUCCGCUAAUACCGGAUGGGGCUGAGAGUACCCGAAGAAUAAGCACCGGCUAACUACGUGCCAGCAGCCGCGGUAAUACGUAAGGUGCAAGCGUUAAUCGGAAUUACUGGGCGUUAACCGUGCCCAGGCGGGUGAUGUAAGACAUUUGUGAAUCCCCGGGGCCUCACCUGGGAAAUGGCUCUGUGACUGCAUUGGUGGAGUGGCGCCCAAGGGGAUGGAAUCCGNCCGGUAGCCUGCAAUGGGCUUAGUGUGCGGAGGAACCCGAUGCGAAAGCGACCCCGGGGGCCGUGUGGAUCCCUCUCCGAAGGCCAGGAGGAGCCAGGCGCAGUGAGACCCGUGAACCCCGGCCCCAAGGUCUGCAGCGGG